AACACAUGCAAGUCGAGCGGAAACGAGUUAUCUGAACCUUCGGGGAACGAUAACGGCGUCGAGCGGCGGACGGGUGAGUAAUGCCUAGGAAAUUGCCCUGAUGUGGGGGAUAACCAUUGGAAACGAUGGCUAAUACCGCAUGAUGCCUACGGGCCAAAGAGGGGGACCUUCGGGCCUCUCGCGUCAGGAUAUGCCUAGGUGGGAUUAGCUAGUUGGUGAGGUAAGGGCUCACCAAGGCGACGAUCCCUAGCUGGUCUGAGAGGAUGAUCAGCCACACUGGAACUGAGACACGGUCCAGACUCCUACGGGAGGCAGCAGUGGGGAAUAUUGCACAAUGGGCGCAAGCCUGAUGCAGCCAUGCCGCGUGUAUGAAGAAGGCCUUCGGGUUGUAAAGUACUUUCAGUCGUGAGGAAGGCGUUGUCGUUAAUAGCGGCAUCGUUUGACGUUAGCGACAGAAGAAGCACCGGCUAACUCCGUGCCAUCAGCCGCGGUAAUACGGAGGGUGCGAGCGUUAAUCGGAAUUACUGGGCGUAAAGCGCAUGCAGGUGGUUUGUUAAGUCAGAUGUUAAAGCCCGGGGCUCAACCUCGGAAUAGCAUUNGAAACUGGCAGACUAGAGUUCUGUAGAGGGGGG
rnacentral:rRNA from 1 species